rnacentral:snRNA from 1 species
GUGCUCAUUUCAGCCACUAGGUCACCAAAAACAGAACAAUACAGAGGAGAUUAGCAUGGUCCCUGCCUAAGGAUGACAGGGAAAGGCAUGAAGCCUUCCAUAUUUUU